AGAGUUUGAUCAUGGCUCAGAUUGAACGCUGGCGGCAUGCCUUACACAUGCAAGUCGAACGGCAGCGCGGGGCAACCUGGCGGCGAGUGGCGAACGGGUGAGUAAUAUAUCGGAACGUACCCUGGAGUGGGGGAUAACGUAGCGAAAGUUACGCUAAUACCGCAUACGAUCUAAGGAUGAAAGUGGGGGAUCGCAAGACCUCAUGCUCCUGGAGCGGCCGAUAUCUGAUUAGCUAGUUGGUGGGGUAAAGGCCUACCAAGGCAUCGAUCAGUAGCUGGUCUGAGAGGACGACCAGCCACACUGGAACUGAGACACGGUCCAGACUCCUACGGGAGGCAGCAGUGGGGAAUUUUGGACAAUGGGCGCAAGCCUGAUCCAGCAAUGCCGCGUGAGUGAAGAAGGCCUUCGGGUUGUAAAGCUCUUUUGUCAGGGAAGAAACGGUGUGGGCUAAUAUCCCGCACUAAUGACGGUACCUGAAGAAUAAGCACCGGCUAACUACGUGCCAGCAGCCGCGGUAAUACGUAGGGUGCAAGCGUUAAUCGGAAUUACUGGGCGUAAAGCGUGCGCAGGCGGUUUUGUAAGUCUGUCGUGAAAUCCCCGGGCUCAACCUGGGAAUUGCGAUGGAGACUGCAAGGCUAGAAUCUGGCAGAGGGGGGUAGAAUUCCACGUAGCAGUGAAAUGCGUAGAGAUGUGGAGGAACACCGAUGGCGAAGGCAGCCCCCUGGGUCAAGAUUGACGCUCAUGCACGAAAGCGUGGGGAGCAAACAGGAUUAGAUACCCUAGUAGUCC
rnacentral:rRNA from 1 species